GCGCCACUGAGGAGUCCCAUACUAGGACGAAACGGCCGUCCAGUGC
rnacentral:hammerhead_ribozyme from 1 species